UUAUGUAUUGUUAUAGGUUACGGAUGCAACGUCGUUAAACAAUUCCAGGACAAUUAAAUUGUUGAUUCAAUCGAACAUAUGGUAUGAACAUGGUUUGUUUCACGGGGUGUUUCGGUGUCUUGCCUUGAAUCAAGGCGUGUAAAAACGUUAUGUGUGAUCCUUAUACACCAGCUGGUGUUCCAAUUCCAACCAACAAGAGGCACAACGCUGCUAAAAUUUUUAGACACCAAUCGUUGCCUCCGAGGAGCCUUGGUAUGCUCAUCUUCUUGUUUUUUGGCUAUACAUAUUAUUUUCGUUACUAUAAAUUCUAAUAGUGUUUGUUUUUUUAAACGAUUGUAUGUUUUGGAUGAAUGAAAGCAACCACGAUGCAUGAAGAAGAUUCAGGUGAUGUUUCAAUUGAUCUUUUAUCUUUAAUUUAUCGAUUUUCUAAUUUUACAAAAAUGUUCUCACCGAGUAGAAUAUACUUUUGAGUUUUGAGUUAAAUCUUUCACAGUCUGUUGUGGAUUAGCAACGUUUCAAGCCAUAUUAACUAUUGUGUUGUGGCAGUUCGAAAGAUUCAUAUAAAUUGGACUAUUGCUACAAAAAAAACAGAAUCACAGGUUUAAUUCUAUCAAAGGAGAUAAAGCCUCUUAUCUCUACUGUCUUUGAGGGUAAAGAUGCUAAUGUCAUCGCCCACGGAGCAAGAAAUUGCGGAAAAACAUAUCUCAUACAUGUAUUGAAAGCAAUCCCAUUAAGGUAUUGAUUAUCAGACAUGAUACUAUAGAUGAAAAAUGCUAAUUAUUGUAUCGCAUGGUUUGUAGGGAAAUGAUUAUGCUCUGACGCUCAAAGGAAACAGAUACCUUUGACUGUGUCUGCUACUUCUAGAAAACAGACAGUGCUAAGGGGAAAUGUGACAGAGAGAAAAGACUAAAAUCAAAGCAAGGAAACUGUUCCGCGAAGCAAACGAUUCAGUGAAAUGUAAAAAUAGCAUGUUGGAAAAUUUAAUUAAUACGUCAUGAAGUGGAAUAAUCUAGAUUCUUCCUUUACAAAGAGGUAAAACAGAGGGUAUAGAAACAGAGACUAAGAGACCAAGAGUCUUAAUUAAGGAGGUUUGGUAUACCACUUAACCCUAAUCAAUCCACUACUUACUUGAUAAAGACAUAUUCUCAUCAUGUAUAUUUGAUUAGAUUAGCUAGGCUCGUAAUAUGGGACAAAACCCCGAAGAUGAGCAAGAAAUGCUUUGAAAGAUUUUAUCGUAGCAUGAAUGUCAUAUCUGCACCCUUCAGUGCUCCCUUGUAAAAUCAAAGUAUCUGAGUAUAGAUACUUAAUAGGUUUAAGUGUUCUUCGAUCUUGGACGAUAUGUUCCAACUUAUACUGAUACAGAGGGUCACGACAUACAUACUAUAAUUGAUAGAGAGUAUUAUCGUCAUCGUGGAUUCAGGUUUUUCCAAGGACGAUAGAUACAUGGCCGGCCCUAUAGACAUCAACAAGAAACUUUUGCUGUAACCCAAAUUUUGUUUCUGAAAUUCUUCAACAAAA